GUGGGGAAUAUUGGACAAUGGGCGCAAGCCUGAUCCAGCCAUGCCGCGUGAGUGAUGAAGGCCUUAGGGUUGUAAAGCUCUUUCGCCGACGAAGAUAAUGACGGUAGUCGGAGAAGAAGCCCCGGCUAACUUCGUGCCAGCAGCCGCGGUAAUACGAAGGGGGCUAGCGUUGUUCGGAAUCACUGGGCGUAAAGCGCACGUAGGCGGAUUGUUAAGUCAGGGGUGAAAGCCUGGAGCUCAACUCCAGAACUGCCCUUGAUACUGGCAAUCUCGAGUCCGGAAGAGGUAAGUGGAACUGCGAGUGUAGAGGUGAAAUUCGUAGAUAUUCGCAAGAACACCAGUGGCGAAGGCGGCUUACUGGUCCGGUACUGACGCUGAGGUGCGAAAGCGUGGGGAGCAAACAGGAUUAGAUACCCUUGUAGUCC
rnacentral:rRNA from 1 species